UUAGUUAAAACCAAAAUAGAGGUAUAUUAUUGUUAAUAAUUUAAUUGAUUAAAUCUAACUAAU
rnacentral:tRNA from 1 species